UGGGGAAUAUUGCACAAUGGGCGCAAGCCUGAUGCAGCCAUGCCGCGUGUAUGAAGAAGGCCUUCGGGUUGUAAAGUACUUUCAGUCGGGAGGAAGGUGGUAAGGUUAAUAACCUUAUCAAUUGACGUUACCGACAGAAGAAGCACCGGCUAACUCCGUGCCAGCAGCCGCGGUAGUACGGAGGGUGCAAGCGUUAAUCGGAAUUACUGGGCGUAAAGCGCACGCAGGCGGUUGAUUGAGUCAGAUGUGAAAUCCCCGGGCUUAACCCGGGAAUUGCAUCUGAUACUGGUCAGCUAGAGUCUUGUAGAGGGGGGUAGAAUUCCAUGUGUAGCGGUGAAAUGCGUAGAGAUGUGGAGGAAUACCGGUGGCGAAGGCGGCCCCCUGGACAAAGACUGACGCUCAGGUGCGAAAGCGUGGGGAGCAAACAGG
rnacentral:rRNA from 1 species